UAUUCCUAAAGGAACACCUUUAUACUCAACCAUCCAUCUUCCAUUCUCACUGUGCUAGCUGCUGUUGUUGUGAGGACGAUCCAUGCACAAUUAUGUCCCUCUUAGUUUGGUGCACUGUCAGACAAUGUUUUCCCUGUUUCCAUGUUGCUGCCACAUCUCGACCUCAAAGAAGCAAUCUCAGUGUGUCCUCUUCAUAAAACUACAGUUGUGUUCCCUCCUCUGCUUUCUUUUAUUUUUUUUUAUGGCUGAUGUUAUCUUCUAUUAUUUUAAUUACAUGCUUUAAGGAUGCCUGCUGCACAGAUCAUUGAUGGAGUUUGAUGUUUGUUAAUAUCACGUUGCGUUAUGGAAAUCUGGUACAUUAAGACCUUGGUGUCUUUCCAAAUUAUUCUGAAGAUAUAAAAAACUUAAUAAGCAACCCACUUUAACUAAUGCAGACUAAUAGGUUGAGAAGAGAGGAGGUGAGCCUGAGAGCUUGAUUGUUUGUGGGACUGUAAGUAAAAUGAUUCAAAGAGCCCUUGAUUGAAAUUUGUUCUUUAAGGUCACAAUUUGGCAUCAGAAUUAGAGGUAGGACUGGUGGGGAUAGUAGAAACCAGUUUGUGGUCAAAUCAAGUCAACCUUCGUGCUUGCAUUUAAUUUUUCCCCAACCAGCAAUUUGUCAUUAAAAGCCAACACUUAGCUAAAUCAGGUGCAGAUGGUUGUUUUUAUCAAAUGAAUGAUGUUUUAUCACUUUAAAAGCUUUUGUUUUUAGUCAAGUGAAGGAAGUGGGCAGCACUCCCUUGUUUUUGAAAGAAGAAGAGCAUAUGCUUUUUAAUUUGAAAUGUAGCACUAAUAGCAUUAUCCACAGGGGAUAGGCUGUGCUAUUGUGGGUUGUGGAUAAUGCAUUUAUGCUCAAAUAUCCUUUAUUCCCUUCUGAGUGAAAGAAUUUAACAGCAUAUUGUAUUACCGUGCCAUAGAGAGUAUAGUUUACUCUUAGAAUGAAUUUUUUGACAGUCUCAACUCUGUUUUUGUUUCUGUUUUGUUAAUUAUGAGGGAAUUUCUUGAUGAAUUUGCAAUGUUCUUUUAACACCGUGCAGAAAAAUGCCUUCAACCUACCAUGAACGAUGAAAAAAUACUGUAGAGGGGAGAUCUGGAGAUAAUGCAGUCAAGAGCCAGAGACAGUUUCAAAAAUAGCUUUUCUGACACAUCCCUUUUUUGCAUUUCUCGGUCUCUGCUCUCUUCUCAACACAAGUUGGUGCUCAUGCUCACAAUGGUGCCAAGCUGAGGAUGCUGCGAAACACAGAGAAGAAAGCUUGAGAUGAGGAAACUCGGUCCAUUAGUGACUUUCUGUAGCAAACUCAUUUUCCCCGGGGCUGUAAGACAAAUGGUUUAAUAACCCAGAAUGCUGUGCUCUUUGCUUCUGCAAAGUCGUCUCUCUGCAUUCAGCUAUAUACCCACAGGUAUCUCCAACAACCUUCUGGGAAAAUGCUGAACAAACGGAGAUCGCGACUUGGAAGCCCGGGGCUGGCCUUGCAUUGUUUGCUUUUUAUUGUAAGGCUUAUCUCACUGUGUCAUAUGGCUAAAAACUGGAGCCUUGCCUUCAAGAUAGCAAUGGGAAGGCAAGAAAGCUUGUGAGCAUUUGUCUUCAGGUCAGUUUUAUAAAUGAAUAUACUGAUGCAGACCUCAACAGAAUGCAAGGGAGAAACUCUGAGCAUGAAAAAGCAAGUACAAGUCCUGACUUCUUUUCUGUCACGUGGCUUUCUGGAAAUGGAAAAUGUGAACACUGCUCUCACGCGCUGUCAUCAGAGAAUUGGCUGUGCUCCAGGAAUAUUGUCAAGUGCUGAACUGGUGCUUCCACGCUGACACAGCAGGGAUGGGCACAGCCAGCCCAGCUGCAGGCACAUCUGGGAAAUGCUGCUGAGUGCUGUUCUCAGUUCCCAUCUGCUCACAAGAUCUUGGGAUGUAGUGUCAGAGACACCAAGCCAAACUUGCUGGAGAUGCUGGAAUAGAGUUAGCUUACUCAGGAUGGAAAGAAGGCAUCACUGCCCAUGUGCAUGGUGUCCAGGUGGAACGGUGGAGGAGGGAAUGGGUUUUUGAAGACACUCUUGGCUCUGAGGGCUCUGAGGGCUCUAUGCCCUACAGCACUGUAACAGAAAUGCUAGGUCAGAGCCUGAAGCAGUGACUGAGCACCUGGUGGGAAGGCAGGGCCAACCAGGGGAGCUCAGCUGCAUGCAGUGCACCUGAGUGACUGGAGGGGCUGGAGCCAGGAUCCAUCCCUUCCCAGACCUCAUUUAAGGGUUGGCAGUGGAGGCAAGAUUUUCUUGCUGGAGAUCCUUGCCUACCUGUGGCCUUCCAAAGGUUGAAUGGUCUAAUUCUACAUCUUCCUCCCAAAUCAAACAAGGUCAGACAACCUGCACAUUGUAGAAUUAUAGAUUUGGAAGGGACUUUUAAAGGCUGUCUUGUCCAACUCAUGCAGUGAGCAGGGACACCCAGAGCUCCACCAGGCUGUCCAGAGCUGGAUCCUUCAUGCCUGCCCACAGAAUGAUGAGCACUGCUCACACAGCAGCAGUAAUGGGAGCUACAACUGGCACGGAUCCAUGGUCCCCAGCUUAUUUCAAGAUCAGAGCAAAACACGGAAGAUGCCAAAUGAUAAAUAUUUGACUUUCGAAGAUGAAAAAAGGAAGAGCAGCAUCAAGGAAUCAAUCUCUUGGGAUGUCCUGUGGUCUGAAUGUACAUUUUGUAUCGCUGAGAUAGGAGCUGGGGAUGUGGAGUGUAAAAAUGUGAGUUUUACAAGGAAAAAGAAUCAUCCAGGAGACCUCUGGGAAAUCACAGGAUGUGUGUACACCUUAUGGUUUGUAUAAAAUUAAAUGUUUUUUUCCUCUCAGAGAUAUUGAUCCUUGUUCUUUUAUUAUCAUGAUUAUGUUUUUUUUUUUCCACUUGCUUCGUUUUCCAUAUCCCUGUCUUUCAGAUCCCUUGUUUGAGUUGGUCCUAUUUAUCUGAACCAGCACUGUUCUGCUUGGCCAGAUGAGCUGCUGUUCUGCUCCAAGGCCUUGCACCCAGGGAGGUCGCAUCCCAUGAGAGAGAUGACUUUUUGGAGCAUCACCUCAUUUCCUGAUAGCUCUUAAUCACUAUCAGAACAGACUUUACAUACAUCACAACCACAAACCGUGCUACAUGUUCCCAUCUCCUCUGUGCUGUGCCACUAUGGACCACAAUCCUGGGAAAUCAUAGGAAGUGCUGUGUGAUGCCUUCAGCCUCAGCUAUGAGGAAUGUGAUGCACACCAGUGCUGGCAGACCGGCUGGAAGACUGAGGUGUGGGACAAACACUUGGUGCAAACCCAUGAGCUUCACACAGACCAGCCUGAUCUGAACCAGCAUGUGUGGUGAGACACUGGAACAGGUUGCCCUGUGAGGUUGUGGAUGCUCCCUACCUGGGAGCACUCAGGGCUAGGCUGGAUGGGGCUGUGAGCAACCUGGUCUAUGAAAGGUGUCCCUGCCUAUAACAGGGGGAUUGGAACUAGAUGAGCGUAAAUGUCCCUUCCAACCCGAACCAUUCUAUGAUUAUAGCUGUGUAGACAGGAGACAGAGCAAUCAUGGAUCAAUCCUUCCUCCCAGCAGCUCCCAUGCUCUCUCAGGAGCACUAAGAGUGGUCUGCGUGUACUCAGCAAGGCCAACUUUUCACACCCCAUUAGCCCAGAUGUGAUGAACCUCACUUUCCACAGCCAAUUCUGCUGAUGGAGCUGACCAAGAUUUUUUUAUUCCCAGCUGAACAGUCUUCUCUCAAAGAAAAGCAAAUUCAGCAAAAUAUAUUUUUUGUUGACAUUUUUUUUUACGGGAAAUUAUUGAAACACUUCCAUUUUAGCAUUUGGCCAAUUCUGUCUCAUCUGGCAUGAAGUAAUCAAAAUCCAGCAGAGAAGCCCUCACUGGAAUUACCUCUUUCAAUCAUUUAAUGCAGUUCCCCUUCAAGAAGGCUGUCCUGAGAUUCCCAAGCUGAAAUAGAAUGGGAUGGGAUGUUGCCUCUUGCCCUACACUUUGACAGUGCUUUUCAUUUAGCUUCGGGGCUUUCCUCCACAGCACACAAAUAUUGCUCCAGAAAGCUGCAUUUCUAAGGAGGAAGGUUGUCUUGUACCAACUGAAUCAUAGACAGGAUGGUUUGACUCAAGGCAUGUAGGAAUUAACAGUUGCCACAGCAGAGCUCCUCAUGCAGCCAAGGCAAUGCAGAGAGGAGUUGACGAAGGGAGACCUGUCUGGUUUUAUAGUGACAGAUUUCUUUGCAUAAUGCAUUUUGGGUGAAGUUUCAGGUUUAUUUUGUACUUAUCUGAUGUCAGAAGAGUACAUAUUAAGUCUUCAAGGAAAAAAAAAAAAAGGUUUUCUUGUAAUCAGCUUAUUG